rnacentral:rRNA from 1 species
CUCAAAGAUUAAGCCAUGCAAGUCUAAGCACAUGCCGAUUAAAGGUAAAGCCGCGAAUAGCUCAUUACAACAGCCUCUGUUUAUUAGAUCUUUCUUUCCUACUUGGAUAACUGUGGCAAUUCUAGAGCUAAUACAUGCAACAAAGCCCUGACCGUAAGGAAGGGGUGCACUUAUUAGAACAAAACCAAUCGAGCCUCUGGCUCGUCAAUUGGUGAAUCUGAAUAAUUUUGCCGAUCGAACGGUCUUUGAACCGUCGACGUAUCUUUCAAAUGUCUGCCUUAUCAACUUUCGAUGGUAGUAUAUAGGACUACCAUUGUGAUAACGGGUAACGGAGAAUUAGGGUUCGACUCCGGAGAGGGAGCCUGAGAAACGGCUACCACAUCCAAGGAAGGCAGCAGGCACGCAAAUUACCCACUCCCGGCAAGGGGAGGUAGUGACGAAAAAUAACGAGGCAGUUCUCUACGAGGCCUGUCAUCGGAAUGAACACAAUUUAAAUCCUUUAAUGAGGAUCUAUUGGAGGGCAAGUCUGGUGCCAGCAGCCGCGGUAAUUCCAGCUCCAAUAGCGUAUAUUAAAGUUGUUGCGGUUAAAAAGCUCGUAGUUGGAUCUGUGGUCAUGUGAAGUGGUCGCCCAGUGGGUUGUUACUGCUUACACAGGCCAAGUUUUUCUAGCGCACUCUUGGUGCUCUUAAAUGAGUGUCUUGAGUAGCUAGUAUGUUUACUUUGAAAAAAUUAGAGUGCUUAAAGCAGACGCUUGUUUGAAUAGUGGUGCAUGGAAUAAUGGAAUAGGACCUUGAGUCCAUUUUGUUGGUUUACAGUCUCGAGGUAAUGAUUAAGAGGGACAGACGGGGGCAUUCGUAUUGCGACGUUAGAGGUGAAAUUCUUGGAUCGUCGCAAGACGAACUACUGCGAAAGCAUUUGCCAAGAAUGUUUUCAUUAAUCAAGAACGAAAGUUAGAGGUUCGAAGGCGAUCAGAUACCGCCCUAGUUCUAACCGUAAACGAUGCAAACUAGCGAUCCGUUGGCGUUAAAAAUAUGACUCCACGGGCAGCUUCCGGGAAACCAAAGUGUUUCUGUUCCGGGGGAAGUAUGGUUGCAAAGCUGAAACUUAAAGGAAUUGACGGAAGGGCACCACCAGGAGUGGAGCCUGCGGCUUAAUUUGACUCAACGCGGGAAAUCUCACCCGGCCCUGACACUGUAAGGAUUGACAGAUUGAUAGCUCUUUCUUGAUUCGGUGGGUGGUGGUGCAUGGCCGUUCUUAGUUGGUGGAGCGAUUUGUCUGGUUAAUUCCGAUAACGAACGAGACUCUAGCCUACUAAAUAGUGAAUAAAUUCUUUGGUUUGUUAACUUCUUAGAGGGAUAAGUGGUGUUUAGCCACACGAGAUUGAGCAAUAACAGGUCUGUGAUGCCCUUAGAUGUUCGGGGCUGCACGCGCGCUACACUGAAGAAUAGAGCGUGUAUUAAAGCCUUUUCCGGAAGGAAUGGGUAACCCUUUGAAACUUCUUCGUGCUUGGGAUAGGGAAUUGAAAUUAUUUCCCUUUAACGAGGAAUUCCUAGUAAGUGCGGGUCAUUAUCUCGCGUUGAUUACGUCCCUGCCCUUUGUACACACCGCCCGUCGCUACUACCGAUUGGAUGGCUUAGUGAGGCAUUCGGACUGGUCCUGAGGCGAUCUUCGGAUUGCUUUAGGUACUAGGAAGAUUUCCUAACUGCGUCAUUUAGAGGAAGUAAAANUCGUAACAAGGUNUCCGUAUGUGAACCUGCA